AUUGAACGCUGGCGGCAUGCCUUACACAUGCAAGUCGAACGGCAGCACGGACUUCGGUCUGGUGGCGAGUGGCGAACGGGUGAGUAAUAUAUCGGAACGUACCCUAUCGUGGGGGAUAACUAGUCGAAAGAUUAGCUAAUACCGCAUACGCCCUGAGGGGGAAAGCGGGGGAUCGAAAGACCUCGCGCGAUUGGAGCGGCCGAUAUCUGAUUAGCUAGUUGGUGGGGUAAAAGCUCACCAAGGCGACGAUCAGUAGCUGGUCUGAGAGGACGAUCAGCCACACUGGGACUGAGACACGGCCCAGACUCCUACGGGAGGCAGCAGUGGGGAAUUUUGGACAAUGGGGGAAACCCUGAUCCAGCAAUGCCGCGUGUGUGAAGAAGGCCUUCGGGUUGUAAAGCACUUUUGUCCGGAAAGAAAUCCUAUGAGUUAAUACCUCGUGGGGAUGACGGUACCGGAAGAAUAAGGACCGGCUAACUACGUG
rnacentral:rRNA from 1 species